rnacentral:tRNA from 1 species
GCCGCCAUAGCUCAGUUGGUAGAGCAGCGCUUUUGUAAAGCGCAGGUCCCCGGUUCGAGUCCGGGCGGCGGCU